UUCUCAGAUUUUGUUGUUUCAAUCUAAGAGAAAGAGUUACCUAUUAUUAAUUGGAUCUAAGAGAAAGAGUUUUGUUAGUGAAUAUUGAGUUUUUUAAAAUUUAUAACCCUUUGUAAAUCUAAGUUUUAGGAAAAAAAUGCGUGAAGUUGAAUUAUGAAUUUCUGCAUAAUGUUUUCACAUGUUUUCAUUGCUGCGACAGCUUAAAAAUAAUCCAUUUUAUCGGCUUCCACCAUUUGUCUCCAGCUUUCGGAGUGGAAAUGAGUUUUCUUUCACUCAAGUUAGAGAUGAUUUCAAAUUGGGGCGUUGGAUGAGCUUUUAUUCUUUUCUUUCACAUGUUCCCGACACUCAUGGAAGAAGCAUGUGUUCAAGCUUAUAUGAGAGCCACAACCCUGCCAGCUGCCAGCACACAUUUGCUUCGAUCUAGAAUGGUAAUCAGCAUAUUCAUCACCUGCUCUUGUUUUUUUCUUAAGUCUUAUUGAACAAUUAUUAACAUUUUUUUUGUUUCUUCUUGUGUCUUAGAUUGCAGAGUCUGUUCCUUUUAGCAGUGAUAAAGACGCAAGUGAAAGCUCCACCUCAGCUGUAGAAAACGGUGAGUUAAAUAACUCAGUUUCAGUUGCUCUCUCUUGCAUUUUUGUCUCAUAUGUCAGAUGUUUCCUAUGAUUUGAUGUCUCACAUCAACUAUUUACUAGUGCAGGGUGUUGUUAGAGUGUCGAUGGUAAGCCAUGGAUUUGUUUAGAACCUUAUUUACUUCAUGAGAAAAUCCCGUGGUGACGAAUGUAAGUUUGGCAAUAGACUUACAUUUUUUACUUAUAUGUUUUGAGAAAUGCUGUUUCUAAUGCCAAGAGUCAACAUGUCUGCAUUUCUUUCACUAGUAAUUACUUUUUAAACUCCCAAGUAUAAUCUAGUCUUUCUACAUUGAAAGGCAAAUCAUAGUUUUUCUCUUAGAAUUGAGUUUCUUAAGAACUGCAAGUGAGUUACAAGUUUGUUGCUUCUGCAGGUGCUUGUACGUGACAUUUGGGUCUUUGAGAAGUCUCUAUUCCACACAAGAGCUUGAUGGCGUCUCUGUGGCCGUAUUGAAUUUCCUCCAAAGGAUAAAAUUCAACCUGCCCUCUGAUUGUUUUUGCUGAGUUAGUAUCUUUACACAAUUUACAAUUUUCUAGUCUCUGUUGCAACUAAAGGAUAAAUGUUGUCUGAUUAGGUUCUAGAUAAUGUUAUAAACAAUUUAUAAAGACUUAUAAAACAAUUUGUAAAGUAUAUAAACAAUUUAUAAAUGCUUAUGAAAACGUUAAAGUUUAUACAGUUUAUAAGGUUUAUAUAGGUUUACGAAUCAAUUAGAAAGUCCCUUAAUCAUUCAUAAGAAUCUAUAACCAUUUAGAAAGGCUUAUAAAACAAUUUAUAAGAGUUUGUACAACAAUUUAUAAGGGUUUAGAAGAAUAUGUAAGUAAUCAAUAAGAAUUAAUAAGAGUUUAUAAAUAUUUUGUAAAGUUUAUA